rnacentral:rRNA from 1 species
UGGGGAAUAUUGCACAAUGGGGGCAACCCUGAUGCAGCGACGCCGCGUGAACGAAGAAGGUAUUCGUAUCGUAAAGUUCUGUCCUAUGGGAAGAUAAUGACAGUACCAUAGAAGAAAGCUCCGGCUAAAUACGUGCCAGCAGCCGCGGUAAUACGUAUGGAGCGAGCGUUGUCCGGAAUUAUUGGGCGUAAAGGGUACUCAGGCGGUUUAAUAAGUCGAAUGUUAAAGAUCGGGGCUCAACCCCGCAAAGCAUUGGAAACUGAUAAACUUGAGUAGUGGAGAGGAAAGUGGAAUUCCUAGUGUAGUGGUGAAAUACGUAGAUAUUAGGAGGAAUACCAGUAGCGAAGGCGACGUUCUGGACACAAACUGACGCUGAGGUACGAAAGCGUGGGGAGCAAACAGG